CCGGGAGGACCAUCUCCCAAGGCUAAAUACUCCCUAGUGACCGAUAGUGAACCAGUACCGUGAGGGAAAGGUGAAAAGCACCCCGGAAGGGGAGUGAAACAGUUCCUGAAACCGUGUGCCUACAAUUAGUCAAAGCCCGUUAACGGGUAAUGGCGUGCCUUUUGUAGAAUGAACCGGCGAGUUACGUUUGCCUGCGAGGUUAAGAUGAAAAGUCGGAGCCGGAGCGAAAGCGAGUCUGAACAGGGCGCUUCAGUAGGUAGAUGUAGACCCGAAACCAAGUGACCUACCCAUGACCAGGUUGAAGGUGUGGUGAAACACACUGGAGGACCGAACCCAUGUAUGUUGAAAAAUGCUGGGAUGAGUUGUGGGUAGCGGUGAAAUUCCAAACGAACUUGGAGAUAGCUGGUUCUCUCCGAAAUAGCUUUAGGGUUAGCCUCGGAGGAUGGAUCAUGGAGGUAGAGCACUGUUUGAACUAGGGGCCCGUCAAGGGUUACUGAAUUCAGAUAAACUCCGAAUACCAUUGAUCUUACUCCGGGAGUCAGACAGUGAGCGAUAAGGUCCAUUGUCGAAAGGGGAACAGCCCAGAUCACCAGUUAAGGUCCCUAAAUUUAUGCUAAGUGGAAAAGGAUGUGGCGUUGCACAGACAACUAGGAUGUUGGCUCAGAAGCAGCCACCAUUUAAAGAGUGCGUAAUAGCUCACUAGUCGAGUGGCACUGCGCCGAAAAUAUACCGGGGCUAAGCAUAAUACCGAAACUGUGGGUGCACCCGUCAGGGUGCGCGGUAGGAGAGCGUUCUAAGGGCGUUGAAGGUCGAUCGUGAGGACGGCUGGAGCGCUUAGAAGUGAGAAUGCCGGCAUGAGUAGCGAAAGAUCAGUGAGAAUCUGAUCCACCGUAUGACUAAGGUUUCCUGGGGAAGGCUCGUCCUCCCAGGGUUAGUCGGGAUCUAAGGCGAGGCCGCAAGGCGUAGUCGAUGACAAGCAGGUUGAGAUUCCUGCACUAGUUUAUUUUGUUUAAGCGAUGGAGGGACGCAGGAGGCUAAGGAAAGCGCACGGCUGGAAAAGUGCGUCCAAGCAGUAAGUCCGGUAGCGAGUGAAAUGCUUGCCGCCUUAAGGACAAGCUGUGAUGGGGAGCGAAAUUAAAGUAGCGAAGUUCCUGAUGUCACACUGCCAAGAAAAGCUUCUAGUGAGAAAUAAACUACCCGUACCGCAAACCGACACAGGUAGUCGAGGAGAGUAUCCUCAGGUGAGCGAGCGAACUCUCGUUAAGGAACUCGGCAAAAUGACCCCGUAACUUCGGAAGAAGGGGUGCUGACCGCAAGGUCAGCCGCAGUGAAUAGGCCCAAACAACUGUUUAUCAAAAACACAGGUCUCUGCUAAAUCGUAAGAUGAUGUAUAGGGGCUGACGCCUGCCCGGUGCUGGAAGGUUAAGAGGAUGAGUUAGCGCAAGCGAAGCCCAGAAUUGAAGCCCCAGUAAACGGCGGCCGUAACUAUAACGGUCCUAAGGUAGCGAAAUUCCUUGUCGGGUAAGUUCCGACCCGCACGAAAGGCGUAAUGAUUUGGGCACUGUCUCAACGAGAGACUCGGUGAAAUUAUAGUACCCGUGAAGAUGCGGGUUACCCGCGACAGGACGGAAAGACCCCAUGGAGCUUUACUGUAGCUUGAUAUUGAGUGUUGGUACCGCUUGUACAGGAUAGGUAGGAGCCGUAGAGAUCGGAACGCUAGUUUCGAUGGAGGCAUUGGUGGGAUACUACCCUAGCUGUAUGAACACUCUAACCCGCGCCACUGAUCGUGGCGGGAGACAGUGUCAGGUAGGCAGUUUGACUGGGGCGGUCGCCUCCUAAAAUGUAACGGAGGCGCCCAAAGGUUCCCUCAGAAUGGUUGGAAAUCAUUCGCAGAGUGUAAAGGUAGAAGGGAGCUUGACUGCGAGACUGACAAGUCGAGCAGGGACGAAAGUCGGGCUUAGUGAUCCGGUGGUUCCGUAUGGAAGGGCCAUCGCUCAACGGAUAAAAGCUACCCUGGGGAUAACAGGCUUAUCUCCCCCAAGAGUCCACAUCGACGGGGAGGUUUGGCACCUCGAUGUCGGCUCAUCGCAUCCUGGGGCUGUAGUCGGUCCCAA
rnacentral:rRNA from 1 species